rnacentral:rRNA from 1 species
GCUGCGAGCGAACAGGGAAGAGCCCAGCACCGAAUCCCGCGGCCGAUACCGGACGCCGGGAAAUGUGGUGUUAGGGAGGGUCCAUUAUCCCGAGGUUAUGCGGUGCGUCCAAGUCCUUCUUGAACGGGGCCACAGCCCAUAGAGGGUGCUAGGCCCGUAGUGACCGCUGCUAAUCGCGGGAGGAUCUCUCCUCAGAGUCGGGUUGCUUGAGAGUGCAGCCCUAAGUGGGUGGUAAACUCCAUCUAAGGCUAAAUAUGACCACGAGACCGAUAGCGAACAAGUACCGUGAGGGAAAGUUGAAAAGCACUUUGAAGAGAGAGUUAAAGAGUACGUGAAACCGUUUAGGGGUAAACCUGAGAAAUCCGAAAGGUCGAAGGGAGAAAUUCAUUCGCGUCUCGCCGUUGGCGUUAAGCGGUCGUGUGACGGAGAACGUUCGCGUUCACCGCGCCUUCCGUUUUUCGAUCCGAUAGCGAACGCGUGCACUUUUCUCCUGGUAGGACGUCGCGAUCCGUUGGGUGUCGGUCUACGGCUCUCGGUGGAGCCCGUGCGUACGGCUUGCCGUCACGCGCGGACCCGAGUGUCCCGGCUGACUCGCUCGACGGUAUACGAAAGGUUUAAGGCCGCUCUUUUUGAGCGUUCGGCUCGUUGCAAGCGCGCCGGAUGUGUCGGCGAUCGGACCUAGUGCCGGUUCUGACCUCCGGUGACUGUUGGCGACGAAGUUCUCGAACAGACCUCUAACCGAUCAGCGAC